CAACAGGGUAUUGCCCCAGUAACGGCGAGUGAAGCGGCAGGAGCUCAAAUUUGAAAUCUGGGGCCCCCGGCCUCCGAGUUGUAAUUUGGAGAGGCUCCUUCGGGGGGGAGCGCUGGCCCAUGUUCCUUGGAACAGGACGUCGCAGAGGGUGAGAAUCCCGUGCCAGGCCGGCUGCCUCCUCCCGCGUGAAGGGCCUUCGACGAGUCGAGUUGUUUGGGAAUGCAGCUCCAAGUGGGUGGUAAAUUUCAUCUAAAGCUAAAUACCGGCGGGAGACCGAUAGCGCACAAGUAGAGUGAUCGAAAGAUGAAAAGCACUUUGAAAAUAGAGUCAAAAAGUACGUGAAAUUGUUGAAAGGGAAGCGCUUGAGACCAGACUCAGACCCAGGCAAACACCGCGCCCCCAGGGGCCGUGCAAUUGCCCGGUGCUGGGCCAGCAUCAGUUGGCGUGGCGGGACAAGGGCGCGGGAAAUGUGGCUCCCCUCGGGGAGUGUUAUCAGGCCCGCGCCGGAUGCCGCCGACGCCGACUGAGGACCGCGCCUCGGCUAGGAUGCUGGCUUAAUGGCCUUCAGCGACCCGUCUUGAAACACGGACCAAGGAGUCUAACAUCUAUGCGAGUGUUUGGGCGCCAAACCCUUGCGCGGAAUGAAAGUGAGCGGAGGUGGGAACCCCUAGCCGGGCGCACCAUCGACCGAUCCUGAUGUCUUCGGAUGGAUUUGAGUAGGAGCAUAGCUGUUGGGACCCGAAAGAUGGUGAACUAUGCCUGAAUAGGGUGAAGCCAGAGGAAACUCUGGUGGAGGCUCGCAGCGGUUCUGACGUGCAAAUCGAUCGUCAAAUUUGGGUAUAGGGGCGAAAGACUAAUCGAACCAUCUAGUAGCUGGUUCCUGCCGAU
rnacentral:rRNA from 1 species